GGUGCGUAACGCGUAGGAAUAUACCUGGUAGUGGGGGACAACCCGGCGAAAGCCGGCUAAUACCGCAUACGAUCUACGGAUGAAAGCAGGGGACCGCAAGGCCUUGCGCUAUCAGAUUAGCCUGCGUCGGAUUAGCUAGUUGGUGAGGUAAAGGCUCACCAAGGCAACGAUCCGUAGCUGGUUUGAGAGAACGACCAGCCACACUGGGACUGAGACACGGCCCAGACUCCUACGGGAGGCAGCAGUGGGGAAUAUUGGACAAUGGGGGCAACCCUGAUCCAGCAAUGCCGCGUGUGUGAAGAAGGCCUUCGGGUUGUAAAGCACUUUCGAUGGGGAAAAACAAGCUAGACCUAACACGUCUGGCCCUGAUGGUACACAGAGAAGAAGCACCUGCUAACUCUGUGCUAGCAGCCGCGGUAAUACAGAGUGUGCAAGCGUUAAUCGGAAUUACUGGGCGUAAAGGGUGCGCAGGUGGUUUGUUAAGUCAGGCGUGAAAUCCCUGGGCUCAACCUGGGAACUGCGUUUGAUACUGUCAGACUCGAGUCUGGUAGAGGGUAGUGGAAUUCCGCAUGUAGUGGUGAAAUGCGUAGAUAUGCGGAGGAACAUCAGUGGCGAAGGCGGCUACCUGGACCAAGACUGACACUGAGGCACGAAAGCGUGGGGAUCAAAACAGGAUUAGAUACCCUGGUAGUCCACGCCCUAUACGAUGGGUACUAGACGUUGCGAGGUUUAUCCUCUUGAUGUCGCAGCUAACUCAGUACGUACCCCGCCUGGGAGUACGGUCGCAGAUUA
rnacentral:rRNA from 1 species